rnacentral:rRNA from 1 species
UGGGGAAUCUUGGACAAUGGGCGCAAGCCUGAUCCAGCCAUGCCGCGUGAGUGAUGAAGGCCCUAGGGUCGUAAAGCUCUUUCGCCAGGGAUGAUAAUGACAGUACCUGGUAAAGAAACCCCGGCUAACUCCGUGCCAGCAGCCGCGGUAAUACGGAGGGGGUUAGCGUUGUUCGGAAUUACUGGGCGUAAAGCGCACGUAGGCGGAUCAGAAAGUUGGGGGUGAAAUCCCGGGGGCUCAACCCCGGAACUGCCUCCAAAACUCCUGGUCUAGAGUUCGAGAGAGGUGAGUGGAAUUCCGAGUGUAGAGGUGAAAUUCGUAGAUAUUCGGAGGAACACCAGUGGCGAAGGCGGCUCACUGGCUCGAUACUGACGCUGAGGUGCGAAAAGUGUGGGGAGCAAACAGGAUUAGAUACCCUGGUAGUCCACACCGUAAACGAUGAAUGCCAGUCGUCGGGUAGCAUGCUAUUCGGUGACACACCUAACGGAUUAAGCAUUCCGCCUGGGGAGUACGGUCGCAAGAUU